CCUGCCUCAUUUCCCACCUAGAUCGUUGCCCGUCCUGGCUCAGAGCUCCCUGAACCUGCAGGCCAUGAAAAGGUGACCCAGGCGUAGAUCCAAAGCAAACAGUCACCUCUAGAGUGUAACACAGGAGGAUCUGUAGCAGAUUUCACAUUGUUUCCUGGUGACAAGGGAACGGGGGCAGCCUGUCCUCAUGUACAUUUCAACUCCUAUCUCGGCAAAGUCAUCUCCACCCCGCUGGCCUCUGCAGUUCCCAGGCACACACCUGGCGACCUCCCUUCUUUCAGGGGUCACCCAGUCCCUUUGCCUCAUGCACCCCACCCCUCUGCUGCCACAACAUGGUGGGGAGUGUGUACAUGUAAAAAAUCUCCCAGAUGUGAGCUGUGGCAGGAGGGCAGGGACUGCAGUCCCCAGCGUCUGCACUGCACCAGGGCUUGGAGAACAGGCUGGGGUGGCCCUCACUCACCUCCUUCCAGAAGAUAAACAGGGUCCCACUGAUGAUGAUGGCCGCGGACAUGAGGAUCUUCAGGAUGAGGGCUCUGCUGAGGAUGGUGUCCCGCACACUCCGUGGUGGCUGCCUGAAGGCGUCUUUGUCAACGGGCUCUACCCCCAAGCUGCUCCAAACAAGACACAGACACUUUGAAAUGAACCAGGAAUGAAAUAAAGGACCCUUGAAACAGCUGUGCCUGAGCCUCCCAGGCCAAGUUGGCACAGGGGGCAAGGCCAGGCAUUUGCUGAACGCCCCCAGGCAUCGCACCUGCCCUCCUCGGCACCUUCCAGAAGCCCCAGAGCCUGGGUCCAUGGGCAGCUGUGCCCCUCCAUCUGUCCCGCAGACAGUGAAGGAAGACCACCCACUGUCACUGGUGAUAACAGCAGCACUGAGCUCCAGCAGCAGCAUUGGCUCUGUGCUCAUACGGUUACGCACACAUGGCCAGAUGGGUCCCCUGACUCCAAAGCGCAUUCCUUCCCCCAUACCACUUGGCCAGCUUGUUGUGGUGAAGGGGAUAUUAAGUCGCAGAGCGGGUGGACUCCUGAGCACCUACUGAGUGGUAAGCCCUUUAUCUCUAGACAUCAGGGAUGAAAC
rnacentral:lncRNA from 1 species